UGAGGAUGACCUGGAGCACUCGGCUGAACCUGUACCAGACCAUGGAGGAACACAUCCAAGCAAGUCUUGAAUAUCUCCAAAGGAGACUCCACAGCCCCCCCAGGGCAGCCUCUUCCAGUGUUCUGUCACCCUCACAGUCAAAAAAUUCUCCUUUGUGUUUACUUGAAACUUCCUAUGCUUCAGCUUCCAGCCACUGCCCCUUGUCCUGUCAUCAGGCAUCGCCAAGAAGAGCCUGGCUCCAUCCUCCUGGCACUCAUUUCUCCUUCUGUACCAUGGGUGUUUUCAAGCCAGCCCACUCUGGUGUAAGGAACCAUGUGGUUUACUCGUGCUCUCUUAUGGGAUCAGAUGUGACAGCAAUGAAUACAACAGAAAAGCUCUGACUAGAGGCAAUACACGAAGACUGGACUUCAGAUCUAAUGACUGGGAACCAUUUCAAGUGUUAAUCUUUCUCCUUUGUUGUUCUUUACCCAAGUCGAAGCUAAAUCUUAAUCUCCCUAAUCCCACUAUUUCCAUGUGAAAGGUCUGCGAGCAAUGUGGGAGAUAAACUCAUUUGCUUCUCUUAGAAGUUACGUCAAGGAGCACAACGGGAAGAUCCGCACAGGCAGGAAUUUUUAGCUGCAGUCCCCCAGGGUGCAAGGACCGUGCUCUUUUUUCAAACCUGAUUAA